GAUGAACGCUGGCGGCGUGCCUAAUACAUGCAAGUCGAGCGAACGGACGAGAAGCUUGCUUCUCUGAUGUUAGCGGCGGACGGGUGAGUAACACGUGGAUAACCUACCUAUAAGACUGGGAUAACUUCGGGAAACCGGAGCUAAUACCGGAUAAUAUUUUGAACCGCAUGGUUCAAAAGUGAAAGACGGUCUUGCUGUCACUUAUAGAUGGAUCCGCGCUGCAUUAGCUAGUUGGUAAGGUAACGGCUUACCAAGGCAACGAUGCAUAGCCGACCUGAGAGGGUGAUCGGCCACACUGGAACUGAGACACGGUCCAGACUCCUACGGGAGGCAGCAGUAGGGAAUCUUCCGCAAUGGGCGAAAGCCUGACGGAGCAACGCCGCGUGAGUGAUGAAGGUCUUCGGAUCGUAAAACUCUGUUAUUAGGGAAGAACAUAUGUGUAAGUAACUGUGCACAUCUUGACGGUACCUAAUCAGAAAGCCACGGCUAACUACGUGCCAGCAGCCGCGGUAAUACGUAGGUGGCAAGCGUUAUCCGGAAUUAUUGGGCGUAAAGCGCGCGUAGGCGGUUUUUUAAGUCUGAUGUGAAAGCCCACGGCUCAACCGUGGAGGGUCAUUGGAAACUGGAAAACUUGAGUGCAGAAGAGGAAAGUGGAAUUCCAUGUGUAGCGGUGAAAUGCGCAGAGAUAUGGAGGAACACCAGUGGCGAAGGCGACUUUCUGGUCUGUAACUGACGCUGAUGUGCGAAAGCGUGGGGAUCAAACAGGAUUAGAUACCCUGGUAGUCCACGCCGUAAUCGAUGAGUGCUAAGUGUUAGGGGGUUUCCGCCCCUUAGUGCUGCAGCUAACGCAUUAAGCACUCCGCCUGGGGAGUACGACCGCAAGGUUGAAACUCAAAGGAAUUGACGGGGACCCGCGCAAGCGGUGGAGCAUGUGGUUUAAUUCGAAGCAACGCGAAGAACCUUACCAAAUCUUGACAUCCUUUGACAACUCUAGAGAUAGAGCCUUCCCCUUCGGGGGACAAAGUGACAGGUGGUGCAUGGUUGUCGUCAGCUCGUGUCGUGAGAUGUUGGGUUAAGUCCCGCAACGAGCGCAACCCUUAAGCUUAGUUGCCAUCAUUAAGUUGGGCACUCUAAGUUGACUGCCGGUGACAAACCGGAGGAAGGUGGGGAUGACGUCAAAUCAUCAUGCCCCUUAUGAUUUGGGCUACACACGUGCUACAAUGGACAAUACAAAGGGCAGCGAAACCGCGAGGUCAAGCAAAUCCCAUAAAGUUGUUCUCAGUUCGGAUUGUAGUCUGCAACUCGACUACAUGAAGCUGGAAUCGCUAGUAAUCGUAGAUCAGCAUGCUACGGUGAAUACGUUCCCGGGUCU
rnacentral:rRNA from 1 species